rnacentral:rRNA from 1 species
UACGAAGGGGGCUAGCGUUGUUCGGAAUCACUGGGCGUAAAGGGCGCGUAGGCGGCCGAUCAAGUCGGGGGUGAAAGCCUGUGGCUCAACCACAGAAUUGCCUUCGAUACUGUUUGGCUUGAGACCGGAAGAGGUUAGUGGAACUGCGAGUGUAGAGGUGAAAUUCGUAGAUAUUCGCAAGAACACCGGUGGCGAAGGCGGCGACCUGGUCCGUGACUGACGCUGAGGCGCGAAAGCGUGGGGAGCAAACAGG